rnacentral:rRNA from 1 species
UACAUGUGGGGCAAGCGUUGUUCGGAAUUACUGGGCAUAAAGGGUGCGUAGGCGGUUUGUUAAGUCACUGGUGAAAGUUUUCGGCCCAACCGGAAAAUUGCCUGUGAUACUGACUGGCUGGAGGGAGAUAGGGGUUGCGGGAACUACCAGUGGAGCGGUGAAAUGCGUUGAUAUUGGUAGGAACGCCGGUGGCGAAAGCGCGCAACUGGAUCUCUUCUGACGCUGAGGCGCGAAAGCUAGGGGAGCAAACGGG